rnacentral:rRNA from 1 species
GAUCGGCCCGCGUCUGAUUAGCUAGUUGGUGAGGUAAUGGCUCACCAAGGCGACGAUCAGUAGCUGGUCUGAGAGGAUGAUCAGCCACAUUGGGACUGAGACACGGCCCAAACUCCUACGGGAGGCAGCAGUGGGGAAUAUUGGACAAUGGGGGCAACCCUGAUCCAGCCAUGCCGCGUGAGUGAUGAAGGCCCUAGGGUUGUAAAGCUCUUUUGUGCGGGAAGAUAAUGACGGUACCGCAAGAAUAAGCCCCGGCUAACUUCGUGCCAGCAGCCGCGGUAAUACGAAGGGGGCUAGCGUUGCUCGGAAUCACUGGGCGUAAAGGGUGCGUAGGCGGGUCUUUAAGUCAGGGGUGAAAUCCUGGAGCUCAACUCCAGAACUGCCUUUGAUACUGAAGAUCUUGAGUUCGGGAGAGGUGAGUGGAACUGCGAGUGUAGAGGUGAAAUUCGUAGAUAUUCGCAAG